CCUUCCAUCUUUUCUACCAUGUGAAGACUCAAUAUUCAAGGUGCCUUUUAGAAGCAGAGAUACCAGACACUGAACCUGCUGUCACCUUGAUUUUGGACUUUCCAGCUUCUAGAACUUUUAGCACAACUGGGGAGACCUCAGAAAACUUAACAAUCAUGGUGGAAGGGGAAGCAAACACAUCCUUCAUCACAGGGCAGCAGGAAGGAGAAGUGCAGAGCAAAGAGAUGGGGUUUUGCCAUGUUCCUCAGGCUGUUCUUGAACUCCUGGACUCAAAAGAUUCACCUGCCAUGGCCUCCAAAAGUGCUGGGAUUAUAGGUGUGAGCCACUGAACCUGGUCUAAGAGACAGUUCCUUAGGGAUGAAGAGUUAUGCAUGCUCAUUAACAGAAGAAUGUGUACCACAGCAGGUACUGCAUGCUAAACCCACGACUUAUGACCCUAUUGUCCAAAUGAGUGGCAAGCAUAACUUCUCCAUUGUGGUGGUGAAUGAGAGGAUGAAGAGAUAAUGAUGGCAUAUAGAAAGAAAAGUGCAGCAAACAAAAGGAUAACCCUGAAGAAAAACUUGAGCUGUUUCUCUGCUUUGUCUAAUCUCCUGUCAGGACAUCAUUUAUUACCCACAAUAUUCACUUGAGAAAACAACUUUGAGAAACCAGCAAAGAAAAAGCCAAAGGAUGAAGAUGAAGUCCUUCUAUAGUUCAAAUCGCUCAUGUCUGUGAUCUUCAAAAUGUGACAUUGGACAAUCAAUUUAAAUGCUCUUUUUUAAAAGAUAGA
rnacentral:lncRNA from 10 species